UCUUCCUCGCUUAAAUCAAAUGAGACUUGCCAACAUAGCCUCCUAGUUUGAUGCUGAAGGACUUGUUACGGGAGAGGCCAAGUUUGAUGCUGGAAUUCCCCUCUGCCAAUAGUAUCCAGACAACUCUUUUGUUCCCUGCUGUGGAUAACUCACAAGACUGUCGCAACAAUUGAUUGAAAAGGUAAACCAUUCACUUGACCAGGUAUAUAUUGUGACCCCAAUGGACUACCCAACCUAUAUGCUUGCUGCAAUCGAACAAUGUUGAACUCAUCUCACUAGUCAAACUAUUGGGGCUUCUUGAUACAGAGGAUUGAACUACACCAUAAUCAAAAAAACCUUCUUAUAAUUAUCAUAUGCCCUAUUUCUCUCAACAUUCAUUCGAUUAGCCCCAUUGCUAUAACAAUCACAAAACAGAAAUCCAUUUGGGUCUACAGAAACAUCCUCGGGCACGUCACUUAUAUACAUUUUCCUAAGAUUACUAGACAAACCGAGUUUAUCAAUCAUAACUGCCCAAGAUACCUCAUUACGAGCAGACAUCACACCAAAUAUUUCGCAAGCAUUAUCCAUCUCCCCUUGUUUUGCAUACCCACAAACCAGACUAGUUCACGAGAACACCUCUCACCAACAUUUCGUCGAACACAUUGUCCCAGAACAGAGCUGAAGAAUAAGCCCCAGAAUAGACCGGAGCGAGAACUGAAGAGAAAGAGCAAUGGUCGAGGGAGGUGUUGUUGCAACUCGUCGUAGCGGCGUUGGUAGUGGAAAGGGUGGUGGAAAGGUUGCGAAGAUCGAAAAUUAAGGCUACGAGAUUAGGCGGUGGUUCAUUAUUAGUCAAGUCUUGAGUUCCUGCUGUCGGUGAUGGAGGGAUGGGGUGGUGAUUGGAGUUGAGGCGUGACGGAGGAGAAGGAGUAGCUUCGAUGGCCAUCGAGGGGGAGGGAGUCGAUAGGAGAGGAGAGCUUGCCCUAAUCAGAGAUAAUAAUCAGGCUGGUGGGACUUGGGAGGAUCAGAGAAUUCUAUUUGGGAUUAAAGGGAAAGACUGAAG
rnacentral:lncRNA from 1 species